CGGGCAGCAGCACGUGAUCUAAUUAUGAGUGAGACGACACCAGAAUGAUUUAUGUUGUCAUUCUUCCCAACGGGGAAACAUGCAAAGCAGGAUGAGCAGAAUCGCUCAAAGCUUCAUAUGUUUGUCUCAGAAGACGACUGACAGACUGAAUCGUUCAGCGCUCAUUGGCUAAACCCGAGUUCAGACCGGGGCAUUUGUGAAGCAGGUCUAUUUGAGAUUGAUGAUUGGUUUCUCUACCCCAAUCAUACACAGAAGCAGAACACAAUUCAUUACACAAGAACAUGUUGACUUCUCUGCAUUUCUGCUACAGAAGAUGAAGCUGUCUGGAGAAACCAAUUAAACAGAAGCAUAAAUAACAAGUUAUAAA